rnacentral:rRNA from 1 species
AGUUACCUACGGGGGGCAGCAGUGAGGAAUAUUGGUCAAUGGUCGGGAGACUGAACCAGCCAAGCCGCGUGAGGGAGGAAGGUACAGAGUAUCGUAAACCUCUUUUGUCAGGGAACAAAGACUGGGACGCGUCCCCGGAUGAGUGUACCUGAAGAAAAAGCAUCGGCUAACUCCGUGCCAGCAGCCGCGGUAAUACGGAGGAUGCGAGCGUUAUCCGGAUUUAUUGGGUUUAAAGGGUGCGUAGGCGGGUUAUCAAGUCAGCGGUAAAAUCGUG